CUCUCAGCGGACGCUGAGUCUGGACUGCUCAGCAGUGGCCUGCUAGCUGGGGCUCUGCCGCAGGGUCUCAGGUGAGGGGCUCCGGGGCGCCUGGGGAGAGGGAAGAGGGGAGGCCUGCAGGCAGAACGCGCUCCAGGGCGGUGGGCAAGCCUGCUUCUCCAGAGCACUUUUCCUCGCACCCUUCCUCCCACCGCGUUACAGCGGCAGAACCAGAGCCCUGGAGCAGCAUGGCUUCCGCUAGGGUGAGUGACAGCAAGAGAUGGGGGAAGGCUGGGCCCUGGAGAGUCCUAUCUCCCCUGUCCCCUCUCCCAUCAGCCCAUCCUCCACCCCUGCUGACUGGCCACUUGCAUCUGCCUCUGUCCCACCCUCCCUGGGCCAAAGUGGGGGACCCUCCGGGGAGAUGGGCCUUGAAGGCCUGUGGCCCCUGCAGUCAGCAGGGUCCCCUCUCACCUGGAUCCGGGGUGGCGGCGGGGAGUGCUCUGCUCUCUCUACCCCGACAUUCUGAACAGCUCCUGACACAGACCCUAUACCCGCCCUUUGCUCUGAGCCCUCUCCUUUAUUUCUUUUGGAAAGUUCUCAGCUGGACUUCAACUAUUUAUUUUCUCUCCAUUUCUAAAAGAGUUUGUGCACAAAGAUUUCUCUCUCUCUUUCUGUCUCGUUCUCUCUCCCUCUCUUUAUUCUAAGUUUUAAUUUUGUGUGGGAAUAGAGACGAGUAACAACGCUGUGAUAGUUUCAGGUAAGGAGCGAAGGGACUCAGCCGUGCAUAUACCCGUAUCCAUUCUCCCCAGAGUCCCCCCGCCCUAGAGCCCUAUCCUUAGGCAGCAGGUCCUGGCUCUGGGGAGGCAUUCCUGCUGGAGGACAGGUAUGGCAGCAGCUCUGUGGAGGUCCUAGUGGGCCGGUCUGGGCUGCAGAGGACUGAGGAACCAGAGUCAUGGGACAUGGAGUCAUUUUAGGAACUAGAGUCCACAUUCUGGUGAGAGAGCUGCAAAUGGAGGGUCUCCAGAGUCAGAGGACUCAGUCGUCUCUCGGGACCCUUUCUACAGCCUGGAAACCCGGGAGCAAAGGCGUGUGGUUUUUCUCUGGAAACUGAAAGCAUCCCUCUCAGGGCCUGGAUCAGCAGUUGAAGGCACGCUAAGCUUUCCCCCUGCACUUUGCACCACUCCCCCACCUCAAUUCAAGCAUGAUAGAUGCUCAGGGGCUCUGGGCCAUGGCACACCGGUGUCUCGGCGUGGUCAUCUGGGCUGACCCAGGCUGAGCGGCCAGGCCCUGUGAGAGCAGGAUGCGGGCUGCAGAGUGUUCCCACGGACCAGCGAGGUGUUUCCUUGCCCAGUCGUGUGUGAUGCUGGGCUGACAGGAUGGGCCCCCCGGACACAGGGUGUUCAGACAGGAGCCCUGCACUUGCUGUGAGCCGCACUGACCACCCCGGGCCAGGAGGGCAGCGGGGACAGUGCCAGAUUCCGCACCAUUAUGUGGAGUCUUUGGGAGGGGUCUGUGGGGCGCCUCCCACCUCCAUAAUGGAGUCAAGUGUCUGGAGGGGAAGGGGCUGGGGGCCGGCGUUCUGUACGUUCAGAGGUUGGGAAGACUGACCACUGACUUCAACCAGGAGUGGAGACUGCACACUUCCUUUCCCCAGGAGGAACUCAGCGGAGACCCUUUUGAAUUCCUGGAUAAUACCCUCAACACAACCUUUUGGUGAGUAGGAGCCACUGUCUCAGUGCCUUCCUUCCCCUCUCCACUGGUCUCUCUUGUCCCUGGGGCUGCUGCAGGUGCACAGAGGUCCAAGGAGUGGGGAAUGAAGGGGGGUCCCUGAAAUCUCAGGUGGUACAGCCUUGCUGGCAUCAGCCUCCCCACUCAGCGCAUAGUGGCCAGAGCCCUGGACUCAGCUUCCUGCUCUGAGCCCCGUGGGCCUGGUGCUGGGUUCAGAGGCUAACCACCUACAGGCAGGUACAACCAAGCACCAGGAUUCGUUCUUCGAGGGGAACCGAGGGGCCAGGCCCAGUCUCUGGGAGAAGUCUUUGGGUCUGCAGAGCUGUUGAUUGGAAGGCAAGCAGUUUGCAUUCAUGGGCUUCUGAAUCCCAGCGUCUCCCAAAGGCUGGGAGGCGUCAGUCAGGUCAGGACCAGGGUCUGCCUUGCCCAGGGCGGGUCCUGGACAGCCGCCCAUUCCUGCAGGAAUCCCUGCAGGGUCCAGUCCCUUGCUUAAGGAAGCGCCGCAAGGACUGUGCCCCAGAUUCCAGGACGCUUGCUCUCUGUCUCUCUGGAUUCCAGAAUCCGGAAGAGAACAUCUGGGUCAGAGCCCUGCGGUGGUUCCAAGGCAUUCUGCAGAGUCUCCAGCAGCGGUGUUGGGAUGUGCUGACCUGGCUGCAGGAGAAGGCGGUGGCCUUCCUAGAGGCCGUCUGCAGUGCGGUGCCCUUCAAGGAUAUCAGAAGUUCCACUGUGUCCCCAAAUUCCUAUGCUGAAGUCCUCUGAAUGCCACGUCAUCUGGAGGUGGUCUUUACAAGGAAUCAAGGUAAAUGAGGUCCUUGGGUGGGGCCUAAUCCAUUAUGACUGGUGACCUUAUGAAAAUGGGGAUUAGGAGACACAUACACGUCUGGAGAGGGUGCUGUGUGGACGUGGAGAUGGCCGUCUACAAGCCUAGGAGAGACCUGGAACACAGGCUUCCCUCAGGGCUCUCAGAGGAUCCAUACCUGCUGACACCUUGAUCUCAACUUCUAGGCUCCACCGUGAGAGAAUAAAUGUGUGUUGUUGAU